rnacentral:rRNA from 1 species
CGGGGAGGAGCCCAGAGCCUGAAUCAGCAUGUGUGUUAGUGGAAGCGUCUGGAAAGGCGCGCGAUACAGGGUGACAGCCCCGUACACAAAAGCGCAUGUGCUGUGAGCUCGAUGAGUAGGGCGGGACACGUGGUAUCCUGUCUGAAUAUGGGGGGACCAUCCUCCAAGGCUAAAUACUCCUGACUGACCGAUAGUGAACCAGUACCGUGAGGGAAAGGCGAAAAGAACCCCGGCGAGGGGAGUGAAAAAGAACCUGAAACCGUGUACGUACAAGCAGUGGGAGCACAGGUUUACCUGUGUGACUGCGUACCUUUUGUAUAAUGGGUCAGCGACUUAUAUUCUGUAGCAAGGUUAACCGAAUAGGGGAGCCGGAGGGAAACCGAGUCUUAACCGGGCGUUAAGUUGCAGGGUAUAGACCCGAAACCCGGUGAUCUAGCCAUGGGCAGGUUGAAGGUUGGGUAACACUAACUGGAGGACCGAACCGACUAAUGUUGAAAAAUUAGCGGAUGACCUGUGGCUGGGGGUGAAAGGCCAAUCAAACCGGGAGAUAGCUGGUUCUCCCCGAAAGCUAUUUAGGUAGCGCCUCGUGAAUUCAUCUCCGGGGGUAGAGCACUGUUUCGGCUAGGGGGCCAUCCCGGCUUACCAACCCGAUGCAAACUGCGAAUACCGGAGAAUGUUAUCACGGGAGACACACGGCGGGUGCUAACGUCCGUCGUGAAGAGGGAAACAACCCAGACCGCCAGCUAAGGUCCCAAAGUCAUGGUUAAGUGGGAAACGAUGUGGGAAGGCCCAGACAGCCAGGAUGUUGGCUUAGAAGCAGCCAUCAUUUAAAGAAAGCGUAAUAGCUCACUGGUCGAGUCGGCCUGCGCGGAAGAUGUAACGGGGCUAAACCAUGCACCGAAGCUGCGGCAGCGAACGUAUCACUUAAAGCGAUUCAGCGGGUUACGAUUGACGGAGCGAAGCGACGUCAAAGCGUAUACAAAGUCGAGUCGGUUUAAGGAUACGUUCGUUGGGUAGGGGAGCGUUCUGUAAGCCUGCGAAGGUGGCCUGUGAGGGUUGCUGGAGGUAUCAGAAGUGCGAAUGCUGACAUAAGUAACGAUAAAGCGGGUGAAAAGCCCGCUCGCCGGAAGACCAAGGGUUCCUGUCCAACGUUAAUCGGGGCAGGGUGAGUCGACCCCUAAGGCGAGGCCGAAAGGCGUAGUCGAUGGGAAACGGGUUAAUAUUCCCGUACUUGGUGUUACUGCGAAGGGGGGACGGAGAAGGCUAUGUUGGCCGGGCGACGGUUGUCCCGGUUUAAGCGUGUAGGUGUGUGUUCCAGGUAAAUCCGGUUCACUUUAACACUGAGGCGUGAUGACGAGGCACUACGGUGCUGAAGUAACAAAUGCCCUGCUUCCAGGAAAAGCCUCUAAGCAUCAGGUAACAUCAAAUCGUACCCCAAACCGACACAGGUGGUCAGGUAGAGAAUACCAAGGCGCUUGAGAGAACUCGGGUGAAGGAACUAGGCAAAAUGGUGCCGUAACUUCGGGAGAAGGCACGCUGACACGUAGGUGAAGUGAUUUACUCACGGAGCUGAAGUCAGUCGAAGAUACCAGCUGGCUGCAACUGUUUAUUAAAAACACAGCACUGUGCAAACACGAAAGUGGACGUAUACGGUGUGACGCCUGCCCGGUGCCGGAAGGUUAAUUGAUGGGGUCAGCGCAAGCGAAGCUCCUGAUCGAAGCCCCGGUAAACGGCGGCCGUAACUAUAACGGUCCUAAGGUAGCGAAAUUCCUUGUCGGGUAAGUUCCGACCUGCACGAAUGGCGUAAUGAUGGCCAGGCUGUCUCCACCCGAGACUCAGUGAAAUUGAACUCGCUGUGAAGAUGCAGUGUACCCGCGGCAAGACGGAAAGACCCCGUGAACCUUUACUAUAGCUUGACACUGAACAUUGAGCCUUGAUGUGUAGGAUAGGUGGGAGGCUUUGAAGUGUGGACGCCAGUCUGCAUGGAGCCGACCUUGAAAUACCACCCUUUAAUGUUUGAUGUUCUAACGUGGACCCGUUACCCGGGUUGCGGACAGUGUCUGGUGGGUAGUUUGACUGGGGCGGUCUCCUCCUAAAGAGUAACGGAGGAGCACGAAGGUUGGCUAAUCCUGGUCGGACAUCAGGAGGUUAGUGCAAUGGCAUAAGCCAGCUUGACUGCGAGCGUGACGGCGCGAGCAGGUGCGAAAGCAGGUCAUAGUGAUCCGGUGGUUCUGAAUGGAAGGGCCAUCGCUCAACGGAUAAAAGGUACUCCGGGGAUAACAGGCUGAUACCGCCCAAGAGUUCAUAUCGACGGCGGUGUUUGGCACCUCGAUGUCGGCUCAUCACAUCCUGGGGCUGAAGCAGGUCCCAAGGGUAUGGCUGUUCGCCAUUUAAAGUGGUACGCGAGCUGGGUUUAGAACGUCGUGAGACAGUUCGGUCCCUAUCUGCCGUGGGCGCUGGAGAACUGAGGGGGGCUGCUCCUAGUACGAGAGGACCGGAGUGGACGCAUCACUGGUGUUCGGGUUGUCAUGCCAAUGGCACUGCCCGGUAGCUAAAUGCGGAAGAGAUAAGUGCUGAAAGCAUCUAAGCACGAAACUUGCCCCGAGAUGAGUUCUCCCUGAGACUUAGAGUCUCCUGAAGGAACGUUGAAGACGACGACGUUGAUAGGCCGGGUGUGUAAGCGCAGCGAUGCGUUGAGCUAACCGGUACUAAUGAACCGUGAGGCUUAACCUU